rnacentral:tmRNA from 1 species
GGGGGUGCUCGGUUUCGACAGUUAUCUGUGGGUAUAGGACGCAUGUCUUGGUUCAAGGUCCAAGUUAAAAACUUGACAAAUUUAAAAGCUGAAGAUAAUUUAGCACUAGCUGCCUAGGCAGCUACAUCUUCGCCGUCACCUGCCUGUGGUUACGGUAGCGGGUGUAAAAUGAUACAGGCAAGACUGGUUGUAUGUCUCUACCGACCAGUUUAAACAAAGAGGCUUUGCUUGAAUUGACUACGUCUGUAUAGAUGAGGAUAGCGAGAAAUAAGUACAGACUAAACAUGUAGUGGUCUAUAUUGUAGGGUAUCUGGACAGGAGUUCGAUUCUCCUCACCUCCAU